rnacentral:rRNA from 1 species
CCGAAAGGCGUAGGUGAUGGACAACAGGUUGAUAUUCCUGUACCGCCAAUAAGCGUUUGAGAGAUGGAGUGACACAGUAGGAUAAGCUAACCGUACUGUUGGUUAUGUACGGCUAAGCAUUGAGGCAGUCUAAAUAGGCAAAUCCGUUUAGACAAUGCUAGGAUGUGAUGGGGAAGCCCUCCGGGGCGAAGUAGCUGAUUUCACACUGUCAAGAAAAGCUUCUAUCGAGUUUAAAGGCGCCCGUACCGUAAACCGACACAGGUGGGUGAGGAGAGUAUCCUAAGGCCAGCGAGAGAACUAUUGUUAAGGAACUCGGCAAAAUGACCCCGUAACUUAGGGAGAAGGGGUGCCUGUCUAUGACAGGCCGCAGAGAAUAGGCCCAAGCGACUGUUUACCAAAAACACAGGUUUCUGCUAAGUCGCAAGACGAUGUAUAGGAGCUGACGCCUGCCCGGUGCUGGAAGGUUAAGGGGAUCUGUUAGAGCAAUCGAAGCAGUGAACUUAAGCCCCAGUAAACGGCGGCCGUAACUAUAACGGUCCUAAGGUAGCGAAAUUCCUUGUCGGGUAAGUUCCGACCCGCACGAAAGGCGUAACGAUUUGGGCACUGUCUCAACAAUAGACUCGGUGAAAUUGUAAUCCCGGUGAAGAUGCCGGGUACCUGCGACAGGACGGAAAGACCCCAUGGAGCUUUACUGUAGCUUGACGUUGGGUCUUGGUACUACAUGUACAGGAUAGGUGGGAGACUAUGAAGCAUGGACGCCAGUCUGUGUGGAGUCAUCCUUGGGAUACCACCCUUGUAGUACUGGGAUCCUAACCAUAGGCCUUGAAUCAGGUCUUGGAACACCGUCAGGUGGGCAGUUUGACUGGGGCGGUCGCCUCCUAAAAAGUAACGGAGGCGCUCAAAGGUUUCCUCAGCACGGUCGGAAAUCGUGCGAAGAGUGUAAAGGCAAAAGGAAGCUUGAUUGCAAGACAUACAGGUCGAGCAAGGACGAAAGUCGGACUUAGUGAUCCGGUGGUACCGUAUGGAAGGGCCAUCGCUCAACGGAUAAAAGCUACCCUGGGGAUAACAGGCUUAUCUCCCCCAAGAGUCCACAUCGACGGGGAGGUUUGGCACCUCGAUGUCGGCUCAUCACAUCCUGGGGCUGUAGUAGGUCCCAAGGGUUGGGCUGUUCGCCCAUUAAAGUGGUACGCGAGCUGGGUUCAGAACGUCGUGAGACAGUUCGGUCCCUAUCCGUCGCAGGCGUAGGAAAUUUGAGAAGACCUGUCCUUAGUACGAGAGGACCGGGAUGGACGUACCUCUGGUGUACCAGUUGUUCUGCCAAGGGCAUGGCUGGGUAGCUAUGUACGGAAUGGAUAAGCGCUGAAAGCAUCUAAGCGCGAAGCCAACUUCAAGAUAAGAUUUCCCACCGUAAGGGUAAGACCCCAGGAAGACUACCUGGUUGAUAGGUCGAAGGUGUAAGUGCAGUAAUGUAUUUAGCUUAUCGAUACUAAUAGGUCGAGGACUUGACC